CAAUAGCGUAUAUUAAAGUUGUUGCAGUUAAAAAGCUCGUAGUUGAAUUUCUGGCGGGCGCGCCGGUCUUCCAAGUGUUGUACUGGGCGCAGUCCGCCAUCCUUGUGGAGAGGGCUCGCAUUGAGUUGCGUGUCGGAUCUGCAUCAUUUACUGUGAGUGUUCAAAGCAGGCUGUCGCUUGAAUACAUUAGCAUGGAAUAAUAAGAUAGGACUUCGGUCUAUUUUGUUGGUUGCGAACCGAGGUAAUGAUUAAUAGGGAUAGUUGGGGGUAUUCAUAUUUAAUUGUCAGAGGUGAAAUUCUUGGAUUUAUGAAAGAUGAACAACUGCGAAAGCAUUUACCAAGGAUGUUUNCAUUA
rnacentral:rRNA from 1 species